GACAGAGGGUGCAAACGUUGUUCGGAAUUACUGGGCGUAAAGCGCGUGUAGGCGGCUAAGUAAGUCGGGCGUGAAAUCCCACGCUCAACCGUGGAAGUGCACUCGAAACUGCAUAGCUAGAGUCCUGGAGAGGAAGGUGGAAUGCUUGGUGUAGAGGUGAAAUUCGUAGAUAUCAAGCGGAACACCGGUGGCGAAGGCGGCCUUCUGGACAGUGACGUGACGCUGAGACGCGAAAGC
rnacentral:rRNA from 1 species